rnacentral:lncRNA from 1 species
AAAUCUAAAAAGUAAAAGCACUCUUACUUUUUUUUAUUUUCUUUUUCUUCAAACCAAAUACGUGUUGUAAAAAUUAUUUCAAAUUUACUUCCUAGUAAACGCUAACAAAUGCAAAAAAAAAAAAUUCUAUGAAUGAUUUUUUUAGAAAAAAAACAAGAGUUCGGCUGGUAUACUAUCAGUAACACGGAGGUUUCCGUAUUAUCAAGUUGUUUUCAAUGAUGUAGCUUUCAAAUCGACGAUCGACUCCAUUAGACUUGAUUUACACUAUUGAAAGUAUUUGAAAACUAAAUUUCAUUAUUUUUCGACAUCAUUUACUUAUCAAACGAAUAAUCUAAAAAUGAACGGCUGAAAAUAAAAAUCUUAUAAAAAAUGAUGAUAAAAGACUUGAAUUUAAAAUUAGAGUUACUGAUCUUACUCUAAAUAGUAAAAAAAAUUUCUAUAAAAAUUUCAUCAGAUUUGAAUUGUUUUAUACCAUUGAAUUCACAAACGUAUCACAUCGACCAUUAAAAUUAUCAAUUUUGAGAAUUUUUUGACUAUUAGCCAAAUAAUAUUGAAAAAUUAUGAAAUUUGAUUUUCAAAUACUUUCAACAGUGUAGAACAAGUCUAAUGGAGCCGAUCAUCGAUUUGGAAGUCACAUCAUUAAAAAUAAUUUGGUAGUAUAAAGACCUCCGUACUACUGAUAGUAUACCAGUCUAGCGCAAAAAAUUACGACUUAGG